CAGCUGCUUGAAGAAUACAAGAUUCCAUUUCCUGAAAUACACACACACAUACAUACAAACCCACAACAACACAGAAACUGGGGAACGUAACAUAGUCUUCUUAUGUCUUACCAGUCACCAUGAGCUUGCAUGUUCCUUAAAAAACAAUAGGCUUUGUUGUAAAGGGUGUGGAUGUUUUUCUUUUGUAAAUUACUGAUGACUCAUUUUAACCACACUUAAUUCUCUAAUCUCUUUCUCCUUUAAUAUACCAGAGAGCUGAGUUGCUAUGGGAACAGGAACUGUAUGUUCCAUUUUGUUACUCUGCAUCUGCCCCUACUGCCACACCUUCCCUGCAAAUAGCUAGUGGGCAGACUCAGCUGAACCGUACUGACAGUGUGGACUGUUUGUGUGAACAGGAACAGAGCAGAUCUGGGAUCAGCACUCCAUCUCCAGAUGUGUCAGAACGAGAAAUAUAUAGGCCAACAUCAGCACACUGGAGCUCAGACAGACCCAGAUAAUUCAUUAUUAGAUACAUUUUAUGAUGCUGCAUUAGAAUGGAAGAAAAUAUAAAUGGCUGUCUGACUGAUUUAAUCUUGUCUCUUAUCCAGACGGUAGUCCCAGGUGGGAGUGGGCCCAGAGCAAGGCCUCAGUUCUAGUGAGCUGGACCCUGCUCUGAGGAAGCUGCUCAGGAAGGCGGGGCUAAACGAGGAGGAUAUGAAGGACAGACACACCCUCCUCCUAGAGGGGCACUGAGAUGAUCAGAAAGAGCUUUCGAUCAGUGAGAGAAUAUGACUGUGGCAUGUCAAUGACAGUUGUAGACAAUUUCCAAUACAUGGUGAAUUUGAUGUGUGGUUAGUACAAUGGUGUCUGUGUGCACGUAUGAUAGGUGGGCUCACCUUCUGCUGUAGUCUGAACUGAUCUGUAUCUCUCUCUAUCUCAUCUCAUCCACAGUCUGUGACGCAGUGGUGACCUGUCAUUCAGGGCAGAGCCCCACCUGUUAAGCUUUUUGUUGCCUGUUUUUCAUGUUAUUUUGGCAUUAAUACAUGUCACACAUGUUUGCAAACAAUGUAAAAUAAUAAUUGAGUUA